GGGGAUUGUAGCUCAGUUGGUAGAGUGCUUGCCUAGUAUGCACAAGACCCUGGGUUCAAUCCCCAGCACCACCA